rnacentral:rRNA from 1 species
AUUGAACGCUGGCGGCAGGCCUAACACAUGCAAGUCGAGCGGAUGAAGGGAGCUUGCUCCUGGAUUCAGCGGCGGACGGGUGAGUAAUGCCUAGGAAUCUGCCUGGUAUUGGGGGAUAACGUCCGUAAACGGGCGCUAAUACCGCAUACGUCCUGAGGGAGAAAGUGGGGGUUCUUCGGACCUCACGCUAUCAGAUGUGCCUAGGUCGGAUUAGCUAGUUGGUGGGGUAAAGGCCUACCAAGGCGACGAUCCGUAACUGGUCUGAGAGGAUGAUCAGUCACACUGGAACUGAGACACGGUCCAGACUCCUACGGGAGGCAGCAGUGGGGAAUAUUGGACAAUGGGCGAAAGCCUGAUCCAGCCAUGCCGCGUGUGUGAAGAAGGUCUUCGGAUUGUAAAGCACUUUAAGUUGGGAGGAAGGGCAGUAAGUUAAUACCUUGCUGUUUUGACGUUACCAACAGAAUAAGCACCGGCUAACUUCGUG